rnacentral:other from 1 species
AUGUGCCUGUUCCGGUCGCGGAGAUUAGAAACCCUUGAGCCAACGACCUAUAAUUGGGAGCCAAGGCCGGAUGGGGCUGACAUGUUCGCCUGAAGGCGAAAAGUCAAAACCAUCCGGGGAGGCACCCACCUUAAAAUACGGGUCUCAAAGGGAAAAUCUCUACGCCGGAACGGGCCUUUU